AUUGAACGCUGGCGGCAGGCCUAACACAUGCAGGUCGAACGGUAACAGGAAGAAGCUUGCUUCUUUGCUGACGAGUGGCGGACGGGUGAGUAAUGUCUGGGAAACUGCCUGAUGGAGGGGGAUAACUACUGGAAACGGUAGCUAAUACCGCAUAACGUCGCAAGACCAAAGAGGGGGACCUUCGGGCCUCUAGCCAUCGGAUGUGCCCAGAUGGGAUUAGCUAGUAGGUGGGGUAACGGCUCACCUAGGCGACGAUCCCUAGCUGGUCUGAGAGGAUGACCACCCACACUGGAACUGCGACACGGGCCAGACCCCGACGGGGGGCAGGAGUGGGCAAUAUUAAAAAAUGGGCGCAAACCUGAUGCAGCCAUGCCGGGUGUAAAAAGAAGGCCUUCGGGUUGUAAAGUUCUUUCAGCGGGGAGGAAGGGAAUAAAGUUAAUACCUUUGCUCAUUGACCUUACCCGCAGAAGGAGCAGCGGCUGACUCCGU
rnacentral:rRNA from 1 species